rnacentral:rRNA from 1 species
CCUACGGGAGGCAGCAGUGAGGAAUAUUGGUCAAUGGGCGCGAGCCUGAACCAGCCAAGUAGCGUGAAGGAUGACUGCCCUACGGGUUGUAAACUUCUUUUAUAAGGGAAUAAAAUGUUCCACGUGUGCGUUUUUGUAUGUACCUUAUGAAUAAGGAUCGGCUAACUCCGUGCCAGCAGCCGCGGUCAUCCGGAGGAUCCGAGCGUUAUCCGGAUUUAUUGGGUUUAAAGGGAGAGUAGAUGGGUUGUUAAGUCAGUUGUGAAAGUUUGCGGCUCAACCGUAAAAUUGCAGUUGAUACUGGCAGGCUGGAGUACAGUUGAGGGAGGCGGAAUUCGUGGUGUAGCGGUGAAAUGCUUAGAUAUCACGAAGAACUCCGAUUGCGAAGGCAGCUUACUAGACUGCAACUGACAUUGAGGCGCGAAAGUGUGGGUAUCAAACAGGAUUAGAUACCCUGGUAGUC